GAUGAACGCUGGCGGCGUGCCUAAUACAUGCAAGUCGAGCGAACAGACGAGGAGCUUGCUCCUCUGACGUUAGCGGCGGACGGGUGAGUAACACGUGGAUAACCUACCUAUAAGACUGGGAUAACUUCGGGAAACCGGAGCUAAUACCGGAUAAUAUAUUGAACCGCAUGGUUCAAUAGUGAAAGACGGUUUUGCUGUCACUUAUAGAUGGAUCCGCGCCGCAUUAGCUAGUUUGUAAGGUAACGGCCUACCAAGGCAACGAUGCGUACCCGACCUGAGAGGGUGAUCGGCCACACUGGAACUGAGACACGGUCCAGACUCCUACGGGAGGCAGCAGUAGGGAAUCUUCCGCAAUGGGCGAAAGCCUGACGGAGCAACGCCGCGUGAGUGAUGAAGGUCUUCGGAUCGUAAAACUCUGUUAUUAGGGAAGAACAAAUGUGUAAGUAACUAUGCACGUCUUGACGGUACCUAAUCAGAAAGCCACGGCUAACUACGUG
rnacentral:rRNA from 1 species